GCUGUAUUAAUAAGAUCCGAAAUCCGUGUGAAACAUUCGCCAGAUACGAAAUCCGGACAAUUUUUUCUGUGAAAUCCGACGAUCCGAAAACCUAUUCACCCCUCUAAUAUUAAACCAUUAUAUUGUAAAUAUAUAUACCAUGACCUGUAAAUUAAUUUAGGUUGCUCUGAAGAUGUUGUAUUGUAAACAACGAAACGUUAAUAGUUUUGUUUGUGG